CCCUUGACUUCGGGAUAACUCCGGGAAACCGGGGCUAAUACCGGAUAUGAGCCGUCCUCGCAUGGGGGUGGUUGGAAAGUUUUUCGGUCAGGGAUGGGCUCGCGGCCUAUCAGCUUGUUGGUGGGGUGAUGGCCUACCAAGGCGACGACGGGUAGCCGGCCUGAGAGGGCGACCGGCCACACUGGGACUGAGACACGGCCCAGACUCCUACGGGAGGCAGCAGUGGGGAAUAUUGCACAAUGGGCGAAAGCCUGAUGCAGCGACGCCGCGUGAGGGAUGAAGGCCUUCGGGUUGUAAACCUCUUUCAGCAGGGAAGAAGCGCAAGUGACGGUACCUGCAGAAGAAGCGCCGGCUAACUACGUGCCAGCAGCCGCGGUAAUACGUAGGGCGCAAGCGUUGUCCGGAAUUAUUGGGCGUAAAGAGCUCGUAGGCGGUUUGUCGCGUCUGGUGUGAAAACUCGAGGCUCAACCUCGAGCUUGCAUCGGGUACGGGCAGACUAGAG
rnacentral:rRNA from 1 species